rnacentral:rRNA from 1 species
UAGUGAGUUUGAUCCUGGCUCAGGAUGAACGCUAGCGGCAGGCCUAAUACAUGCAAGUCGAACGGAUGUCAGCAAUGGCAUUAGUGGCGCACGGGUGCGUAACGCGUAGGCAAUCUGCCUACUUCUGGGGAUAGCCCGCCGAAAGGGGGAUUAAUACCGCAUAACACCACAACACGGCAUCGUGUCAUGGUUAAAGAAUUUCGGAAGUAGAUGAGCCUGCGUGCCAUUAGCUAGUUGGUAAGGUAACGGCUUACCAAGGCGACGAUGGCUAGGGGAGCUGAGAGGCCGAUCCCCCACACUGGCACUGAGAUACGGGCCAGACUCCUACGGGAGCAGCAGUAGGGAAUCUUGGACAAUGGGGCGCAAGCCUGAUCCCAGCCAUGCCGCGUGAGUGAAGAAGGUCUUC